GACGAACGCUGGCGGCGUGCUUAACACAUGCAAGUCGAACGGAAAGGCCCUGCUUUUGUGGGGUGCUCGAGUGGCGAACGGGUGAGUAACACGUGAGUAACCUGCCCUUGACUUUGGGAUAACUUCAGGAAACUGGGGCUAAUACCGGAUAGGAGCUCCUGCUGCAUGGUGGGGGUUGGAAAGUUUCGGCGGUUGGGGAUGGACUCGCGGCUUAUCAGCUUGUUGGUGGGGUAGUGGCUUACCAAGGCUUUGACGGGUAGCCGGCCUGAGAGGGUGACCGGCCAAAUGGGAACUGAGAAACGGCCCAAACUCCUACGGAAGGAAACAGUGGGGAUUAUUGAACAAUGGGCGGAGGCCUGAUGCAGCAACGCCGCGGGCGGGAUGACGGCCUUCGGGUUGUAAACCGCUUUCGCCUGUGACGAAGCGUAAGUGAGGGAAAUGGGAAAAGAGGCACCGGCUAACUACGU
rnacentral:rRNA from 1 species